CGAGGAAAAGAAACUAACAAGGAUUCCCCUAGUAACUGCGAGUGAAGCGGGAUGAGCUCAAAUUUCGAAUCUGGCGGUCCCUCGAGACCGUCCGAAUUGUAAUCUAGAGAAGCGUCUUCCGCGCUGGCCCGUGUACAAGUCUCCUGGAAAGGAGCGUCAUAGAGGGUGACAAUCCCGUCUCUGACACGGACUACCAGGGCUUAUGUGAUGCGCUCUCCACGAGUCGAGUUGUUUGGGAAUGCAGCUCAAAUCGGGUGGUAAAUUCCAUCUAAAGCUAAAUACAGGCGAGAGACCGAUAGCGUACAAGUACCGUGAGGGAAAGACGAAAAGAACUUUGAAAAGAGAGUUAAACAGUACGUGAAAUUGCUGAAAGGGAAACGCUUGAUGUCCAGUCGCGUUCGUCGGGGAUCAACCUUGCUGAUCUUAAGCUUGGUGCACUUUCCGCUCGGACGGGUCAGCAUCAGUUUCGAUCGACGUACAAAAGCAGGGGGAACGUGGCACUCUAUCCAGAGUGUGUUAUAGCCCUUUGUCGCAUGCGCCGAUGGGGACUGAGGAACUCAGCACGACCCUCGUCGGUCUUGUGCAUGGGAUGCUGGCAUAAUGGCAUUCAGCGACCCGUCUUGAAACACGGACCAAGGAGUCUAACAUGCAUGCGAGUGUUCGGGUGCAAAACCCAGAGCGCGCAAUGAAAGUGAAAGUCGAGAUCUCUCUUCUAGGAGUGCACCGACGCCCGGACCAGAGUCUUUUCGACGACGGAUCCUGCGGUAGAGCAUGUACGUUGGGACCCGAAAGAUGGUGAACUAUGCCUGAAUAGGGUGAAGCCAGAGGAAACUCUGGUGGAAGCUCGUAGCGAUUCUGACGUGCAAAUCGAUCGUCGAAUUUGGGUAUAGGGG
rnacentral:rRNA from 1 species